rnacentral:lncRNA from 1 species
UGGAUACACGGAUGGGCCUGAAAAGAAAGUAUUAUACUCAUGUGGCUAACUGGUACCCGGUGAUAUCAUCUGAGGGAUGUAGGAAGAAGAAGGCGCUGUCAUCUAUGGAUCAAAAGGUGGUGGCAUCUGUGCAGCAUCUAAUGAUGACAUUUGCGGAAUAUGCGGAGAUGGCAUAUGUGGAACAUAUGGUGACAGCGUAUAUCUCAU